UGGGGAAUAUUGGACAAUGGGCGAAAGCCUGAUCCAGCCAUGCCGCGUGUGUGAAGAAGGUCUUCGGAUUGUAAAGCACUUUAAGUUGGGAGGAAGGGCAGUAAGCGAAUACCUUGCUGUUUUGACGUUACCGACAGAAUAAGCACCGGCUAACUCUGUGCCAGCAGCCGCGGUAAUACAGAGGGUGCAAGCGUUAAUCGGAAUUACUGGGCGUAAAGCGCGCGUAGGUGGUUCGUUAAGUUGAAUGUGAAAGCCCCGGGCUCAACCUGGGAACUGCAUCCGAAGGUGGCGAGCUAGAGUAGGGCAGAGGGUGGUGGAAUUUCCUGUGUAGCGGUGAAAUGCGUAGAUAUAGGAAGGAACACCAGUGGCGAAGGCGACCACCUGGGCUCAUACUGACACUGAGGUGCGAAAGCGUGGGGAGCAAACAGG
rnacentral:rRNA from 1 species